AGAAGUCGGUGAGGAGGGGAAAACGUGCUGGGCUGCUUGGUUUCUUUCCGGGGGCCCAAAGAGGCAGCCCCGUUGUCUUUGGAGCGACGUCCCUUCACCUCUCUUCCCCAUACUCCCCUCCAAAGCCCAUGCAGCGUUACUCUGCUCCCCCCACCCUUCCUUACAGCCCAACCGUGCCCCAAAACCGCCCCUGCUGAUACCGGGCUCCUGUCCCGUCCCUUCCACCCAAUGCACAGCGCGUGCCUUUCCCCAGCCUCCCAGCCCCACGGCUACGCGUGCACACCGAUACUGCCUGCACACGCACACACACGCGCCUCCUCCCGGGCCCAGACCUGUGGCUCGAUGUAGGGAUGCCGGCGAUGGAAGCAAUGGAGGCAUGCAUCAGGUCCCGUGUAUCAAAGAGUUUCAUCUAGCAGGACCUAGAGAGUGGCCUUUUCUGUCAGAGUGCCUGUCCUCAAGAACAUCACAACCCCACCCAAGAGUCAUUUGGUUCCAACUCUGCUGGCAUUUCAGAAAGCUUAAAAACAUGGCUGUUUUCCUGGGCAUGGGGAUUGGGAGUUUAAUUGGCUUUGUGAGAUUAGCGAGUCACUUGCUAAUGAUUUAUGCUGUCCUCAGUUGCCAUUAUACUGUAUACAUUACUAUUUAUUGUGUCAGUGCAUUUAACAUUAUGCCAGCCUCCAGAAUCACUAUUGUAAAAUGGGCAGCCAUACAAAUUGAUUAAAGUAAAUAAAUCAAUUGAAAUUAAAAA